rnacentral:rRNA from 1 species
UCCUGCCCAAUGAUUAUUUAAAUGGCUGCAGUAUUUUGACUGUACAAAGGUAGCAUAAUAAUUAGUCUUUUAAUUGAGGACUUGAAUGAAUGGAUUAAUGAGAAAUUAUUUUUAUUAAUUUUAUAUUUAAAAUUUAAUUUUUAAGUAAAAAAGCUUAGUUUUUUUUCCGGGACGAUAAGACCCUAUAGAACUUUAUUUUUUUAAUUAAUUUUUAUAUUUUAGUUUAUUUAUUUAUAUUUUUUAUUAUAAUAAUUUUGUUGGGGUGAUAAAUAAAUAUUAACUUUAUUUUAUUAAAUCAUUAAUUUAUGUUUUAUUGAUCCAAUAUUUGAUUAUAAGAUCAAGUUACCUUAGGGAUAACAGCGUAAUUUUAAUGGUGAGUUCAUAUCUAUAUUAUAGUUUGCGACCUCGAUGUUGAAUUAAGAUAAGGUAAAGGGGUAG